rnacentral:lncRNA from 1 species
AUAAAUAAAAUGCUAUGAUCAUAUAUGAUUAUUUGGAUACUUAUAAAACAUACACAUAAAGGAGAACUGAUUAAGGUGGGUUACCCAAUAACACGUGUCACAACUUCAUAACAUAGAGCUAUCUUAAUCAAAGUGUUUUGCAGCGGAAAACGUGUGAGAUAUACAUAUGAAGAUGUAUACUCAAGGUUACAUUUCUUGAAAUGUCAAAGGAACACCCGCUCAACGCCAUUCCAUUCCAUCAGCUGCUCAACCUGCACAUUUAGAAAUACAUGCAGGGCUGAGUAUAAAAAUACGCAGUGGGCAUAGCCGAAAAUACACCAUGCAUACAUAUAUAAAUUGAACUGCCAUAACAGUAACACACAGGGGUUUUCUUGAAUGGCCUGCGCUUACUUAAAACAUUUCGUUCAUUUUCAUAAAGUCAAUCGGCCGAUCAUUUUCCUUCAUAUGAUCCAUAUCUGUUCCUUUCUGUCACGCGCCGGGAAGGAGGCCUCCUUACCACGGACGCCAAGACCGGUCGCAAGCGACUCGCGGUCUCCAUAAGUGUACACGUUAACCCUAGCUAGCGACCUUUGUCUAGCAUAGGAUCCCAAUUGGAUUUCCUUUAAAGUUGGCGAACCAACACAGAUAGGAUACAUAUAAAAACAUAAACAUUUUUUGCAGUCAAUCAUUUCAUAAACUUUUCAUUUCAUAAACAUUUUCAUUUUCAUUUCAUAAGAGUCAUUUAUCAUUUGGGCAUAAUAAUAAACUGAAAUUAACAGUUAAAAUCAUCUCAUGCAUAUAUUCGUAUAAGAGGCCUACGACACGCAGGGGAUCUCUAUAUACGUAUAGUAAAAGUAAUGCCCACCUCAAACGUUCUUAAGCUAGCGUGGAGUCGCUUCUUCUUCGGCUUCAUUUCCUGUCGCCCGGACCCUUAUUGAUGAAGAGUCGGUAAGUUCGUGAAGAAAAUUGUCACAAGACAAAGUCUAAUUCUACGUGUCUAGGGUAUCUUUUAGUAUUUUAGGGUUCUAGCAUCCAUAAGUCGUUUCGAUUAAAACAAUCAAAAACCAACAUAACAUCGACUAACCACAUAACAAACGAAAUAAUAGAAUUCAAUAUCCUUAAACUUAAUAUCAUUUAGAAAGCUAAGAGUUUAAUAUAAAACAUUCUCAACCCAAUCCUUGAAAAAUAAAUCACAUAAACAAUUAAUCUCAAUAAUAGCAUUCUUGAAAAAAAACUAAACUCGAGGUUUCUUUGUAAAAAAAAUUCUCAAAAUUUCAAUUUGAGCUCACAUAGUACACAAGAAUACAAUUACAUGAUCAUACGUCUUAAGAAAAAAAUCAACAAUCGGCUUCCCCUUUUUAUCAUCAUUUUCGGUCCUCCCAUAAAAUCUUAGGGGAUGGUUCGUCUCAUCUCAUAUCGCAUAUAUGAGCUCAAUUAUUCAUCACAUAGUCAUAUAUGUUCACAUCCAACACCUAACUCAUCUCAUAUGAGAGACCUCAUACAAACGCGCAAACUAAACUCUUUGAAAAUUCAAAAUCCUUUCUAAUCCUUUUAAAAUCCAUACUCAUAAAACCUUAACUCAUACUCUAUCACAUAUUCUAUCUCCUUACUCAACUCUAUAUAAACUCUCCACUCAUCUCAAAUCCUUAAGUUCAAGGAUAGGUUUCAAGAAAAUCAUGGUUCUAAGUCUGGAUUUAUCUCUCAUAUAAGGCUCGUUGUCACGACCGCACUUGCUAAGGAUAGCAAAUUCGGGGAAACCGCGACUAAGGGAGGGGAUUUAGGAGCGGGAGUAAGAAAGGGGCAUAUUCGGUUUCUUGAUGACUCGACUUGUAUAAGGAAAUCAAUCGAAAUAUCUAGAUAUCAACGAAGGCCACAAGGGGACCAUACAUAAUAUUAUCCCAAAAUGGGAUACUCAAUGGUUUUAGUACAUUAUUAAAUAAUACAUAUUGUUUGACAAAUGACAUAAUAUCUUAACAUAAUCAGUGUUCGCAGCGGAAUAACAAUAACUUGAGUAUAUGUAUGAAGACAUAUACUCCACUCUGAGGUAAUCAUCCUAGAUCGACAAAAGCUCCGCUUGCACACUACAUCCUCGAUCACAGCUCAACCUGCACAUUUAAAAAUACAUGCAGGGCUAAGUACAAAAGUACUUAGUGGACACUUGCCGAAAUUUACAUACAUGCAUAAUAUUUUAUUGUCAAGCCUUUCAACAGUAGUAAGAUACGAGGGUUUCCUUAAAGACUCGUAUUACUAACAUAUAUCAUUCUUUCAUCAAUAACCCGCGCAGGUAUUUUAUAUCAUUAAUCACCAUAUCAGUAACUCGUGCCGAGAGGGAGGCCUCCCUCUACGGACACUAUGAUCGGCCAACCCGCUAGAUGACUCACGAUCACAAGGUGUACACUAAUUCCGAAGGAAUUUGCGGUCCCAUCCAGAAUCCGAAUUCGAUUAACAUCAGAUAGGCAAUUAAUAAUAAAACAUAAAGCAUUUAGGCAUUGACAAUAUCAUUUAAAUUCAUAAGCAUAAAGUCUUAACAAUUCUAAUAUAUAAUUUUAGUUUAUACGUAGAAAGCCUACCUGAAUAGCAGACUCACGGUUUAGCUCUAACUCUGGUGCUUGACCUUUAAUUCGAGAAAAUAAAAUAAGAUUCUAAUUCUCGAAAAAUCUCAAUAAAUGAGGAUGCGUGAAAUGAUUAUGCAUGACUCAUAUUCCUUUAAUUAAAUUAUGAGAUGCUAAUCCUAUUUAAGGAAUUAAAGCUCGUCUUAUGAGGUCGGAUUAUUAAUCUUUAAUAAUCUACUCAUCUUAAAAUAAUCUAAUUCACUUACUAAUUAAUAAUUAGUAAGUCUUAAAAUCUUCUCUAAUUAAACUUAAUAGAAUAAUUAUGAAGUCCCAAUUAAAAUAAAUAAUCAAGGCCCAAAAGGAAUUUAAUUCGAGCUAAAAUGAACACAUUCGAAGCCCAGUGCAUUAAUAAUAUUAGGCCCAACAUCAAUUAAAUUCUAGAGCCCAACAAAUGAGGCCCAAGAUAAUAAAUUCAUGAAGCCCAAUAAGUGAGCCCAUCAUCACCCUAAAAAAAAUAAUUAGUAAAUUUAAAUAUUAAUCACUAAUUAAAAUAAUUAGGAUUAAUGAAGAGGCCUAAAAUAAUAAUUCUUAUUGGGUUAAAUAAAUAAAUUUCAUUGGACUUAAUCAAUUAAAACGUAGGAGCCCAAGUAAUAUAAAUUCGAGACCCAUUAUUAAUAAAUAAUAGGAGUCCAAGUAAUAAUUAAUGUGGACUGGAAAGAAUUAAUCUUAGUCCAAUAGACACUUUAAUCGGCCCAAAUGACGAAUUAACAGCUGGGCUGAACUAAACAAAUCUGAAACAGGCCCAAUAGAAUUAAAUAAAUUCCAGCCCAAGAACAUUAAAUAAAUUCGGCCCAGAUAGAAAUAAAAAGAUGGCCCAAUGAAUUAAUCCCCGGCCCAACAAAUAAAAUGAACUAGGCCCAAUAAAAGAGUCCAAAAAUUUCGGCCCAAACCCGGCUCCCUUUUCUUUCAAAAUCAAUCACUAACACACUCUUUUUUAAUUAAUCAACAAAUCCCCCUUUUUUUUAAAGUUGUCGAUUCUUUCUCUAUCUUUUUAUUAAAAACAUAACACUUUUCCUAUCUCUCACAAAUCACUAUCAUCGGUUCUUCCCCUUUUUUUUUAAAAGCAGAACCCACCAUCUCUUAAUUAAAGCAAAACAUUCUUCUCUCUUAAUUCAAAACUCACGCUGCAUCUCUCCCCUUUUUUUUUAUUAUUAAAAGCAUACACUCCCUCUCUCUCUAAUUAUUAAGAAAGAAACGCUGCAACAUCUCUUCUCCUUCUCACAACAGUGCUCGGCUCUCUCUCUCAAACAAGAAAAGAACGCUGCUCCCAUCUCUCUCUCUCUCUCUCGAAUCUCCUCCGGCCGCCUCCUCACGAGCUCCACCGCGGACGGUUCCAGCGAACAUCGUCGACUGGGAGUCAUCGCCGACGUCUGGAGCGGCUGCUGCUUCUCCCGUUGCCGCAGACUGCUGCUGUUCGCCGGAGUCGCGGGCUGCUGUUGCAGAGCUCCGACAGCCACCACCGUCGUCGGCUGCCGCUGCUUCUCUCUGCUCUGGGCCGCGACCAGCGGCACUUGGCCUUUGGCCGCGCCGUCCCGCUCAGCCGCCUGGAACUGCUGCUGCUCGCCCGGAGUCCGCCGACUGCUGCUGUUCGUCGAGUCGGCGAGAGAUGGCAGAACAGCUGCUGCCGCCGACAGAGGCCAUCUCGCCGUUUGGUGCCGCCGCCAUCGGCUGCCGCUGCCUCGCCCAAAGCCGACUCCCGGAGUUGCCGUUCGUCGUAGCGAAGGUCUCGGCAGUUCGUCAUUGCCUCCCUCUCGUUUUAUCUCUCUUCGAUAGGUUUGUAGAUUUGAAAAAGUUUUACAUAAAACUCAAGUUUGUGUAAAGAUUUGAUUAUGGAAUCAAAACUUGAUUUUUCUGUACUCUAGUUUAGUUAUAUAGAGGUUCUAUUUCUGAUUUCUUGCAAAGGUUUGAUGCGUAUGCAAAUACUGUAAACUGUAAAAUGAUAUAUUGCUUGCUAAUGAAUUCUAUUGAACAUAAACACUUGUAUAAGGAAUGAAGUUGAAGAACUUUGAGAUUAAUAUAUACCUUGUUCUGCUGAAGUUUGGAACUCAAAACGAACACUCUGUAUUUUAGAAUUAGCAAUUGAAGGUUGUGGUUUUAAAACUGAUUCGUUUGAGUUAAUUUAUAGGCGAAUUGCUGCGACAAUGGAAUUUAUGAAUGUGGAAUUUUUGUGAGUGAAAAUCGGCUGCGCCUGAACAAAUAAGAUUUGCUGCGGCUGUAUCUGUAUCUUUGAAAAAAAAUGAGAUUUGCUGUUGAAAACUGAGAUUUGCUUUGUUGAAUUACUUGAGAUUUUGCUGCUGACAAUUUUGUUUGACUACGUAAGAGUGAAAUAAAAACUAAGCACGGGUGAGAAUAGAGUGGCUGAGGGAGCAUGGCGUGCUAGAUUUAAUACACGGAAUAAUAUCUAAAUUAAUAUCGUAGAUUUAAUUCUUCACAAGCCGGAAUAAAUUCACGACUCAAGAAAUAAAAAAAAUAGAAAAUUAAUUCUAUUGUGAUUAAUAAUUAACAUGACUUUACUAAGUCAGUUAUGAAUCUGAAAUAAAUAAUUAUUGGCUUACUCAAUAAUUCUCAUCGCGGUUUUAUUUACGCGAAGCUACUGACUUGGUAAUAAAAUAAUAAUCCUGCUUAAUUGAAUAUAAUCCAGUGUCAUAAGCUGAAUUUAAAUCAUAAAUAAUUACUGGGUUUGAUUUACUGAAAGAUGAAAUAAUAAUUAUCGUAUUCCUGGAUUUAAAUAUAAUAAAAGAGCGGGUUGUUACACUCGUCUAAUCUCAUUCAAACACAUAGGCCACUAUCACAUAAAGCACAUAAGAAUCACAAUCAAACAUCAUUAAAACAUGCUCUAUUUUUACACUGAUUCAACUUUAAAAUUUAAUCUGUUCUGACCCCGACAUCUCCUGGACUCGAUACUCAUACCGAAAGAAAGAUCUUCAAGUCUAGUUUCUUAUAAAAAAAAGUAGAGUUGAAAACUCCAAGUGGUUUGAGAGAUAUGACGUUUUUACCACGAUCUACCAUAUUCGGCAGUUUUGAGCAAUCGAAAACUUGGAUUUUUGAAAAAUAGUAAACGUUGUCAAACUGGACUCAACUUUGGUGGAUAUCUAUCUAACACAAUAAAGUUAAUACCAUAAAAAUUUGGAAAGCUAUAUCACAAAGGAAGCUACUGAAAUGAAUGACUCUUUCCCCUGUUCUCUGAAAUUCUCGGUAGUAAUCAGUUUGGUUUUUCAUUUUAAAGAAAUAUCAAACGAAGUUGGAAUGGCUUGAAAUUUUGCCAGGGUACUCAAGACUCAUGUAGGGACUUGCUAUAAAAUUUCAAAGUUAUUAGACAUCGACAAACCGUCGAUCACAAUAGGUAGUAGGCCUACGAAAUUCACCAAAAUCUCAUCUCAAAUUCUUAAAUGCUCAAGAUUAUAUACUCACAUAUAACAUCAUACAAUCUAGAUCUAUGAAAAUAAGAAUCACUUACCCAAGAUUAAACAAAGAUCAAAAGUUUUCCUUUCUCACUCUUCAAACCAAACCCACGGUCCUCUUGAAAUCUUCAAGAAUUGAAAGGUGUUUAAUGUUGAUUUGGUGGAG